GUCGUCCACCUGCUCGAGGUCGACGAC
rnacentral:sRNA from 1 species